rnacentral:misc_RNA from 1 species
CCGCAACCUCACUAAUAAAAUCAGGUUUCUUCUCAAGGGCAUCAAGUAACUUUUUUACAUCAUAUCGAAAACCAAUCAUUUUGCAAAUUUCUCAAUGUACAUUUACAAUUAGCAAGUCUUUAAACGUGACCCACAAACACAGAACCCUGAUUUAGUAACAGUUAUUUUCUAACAAAAACAACAUAUUAAGAAUUAGUUAUUCAGUAUUCUAUCACAUUAGAUAUAUUAAAAGAUCCAUUUGCUGGCUUAAAAUCAUACGAGAACAAGAGAAUCGAAAUUUGAAUUUAUUCCAAAACUAAGGAUGAAAGUUUAUAUAUUUUUCAUGCUUUUCGUCCCGAUAAUGGCUGAAAAAGAAGUGAAAAAAUGCAGCUUGGAGAAUGUGUUAAAGUGUGGGCUGCUAAGAAACAAAUUUUCAGAAGAAUAUAAAAAGCCGUUUCCAACUACCGAAAAAGAAUUGACCAGACAAUGCGAAUUGUCUUACGAGAUGAUAGACUGUGGAUACAAUUAUAGCCAGGCUUGUUUAACCUCUAUGGAUAAAGUAAUAGGGCAGUUUGUUCUUUCGGGAACUAUACAAAAAAUGAAAGACCUUUGCAAUCCAGAACACUAAUUGCACAAAGAUUAUUUGAAGAACGCCGAAUGUAUGCUAAAUAAUUAUGGACUUCUGAAAGAUUGUGUUAAUAUCAUGAUGUCUGCAGGAAUACAAACAUAUGAAGAUAAAUCAGGACAUAAAUUGCUUGUAUUUUGUUGAUGAGUUUAUAAAAAUGUAUUAUUACGUCAUUAACUUGAUAAUUUAUAUAAAAUAAAUUUUAUUUUCAAGCGGAAUAAAUCGUAUGAGAGAAUGUAUUGCUGAUCGAUUUGAACGUGAAUGUAGCUCGAAGGCAGUCUUUUUAGGUGAACUACUAAUAGAAUUAUCUAUUACUGAAUUUAUUUUUGAGAUAUGUAAUCCCUAUUUAGAAGUUAAAAAUGAUUGUCCACCAUUACCAACCACAGUAAACGAAGAGCCAUACAAAAAUUAUUAUGUUAUGAAAUACGUUUCUCCUUAUCUUGAAAAUUACCAGCCACAGCAAGUAUAGAGCCAUACAGAAAUUAUGUUAUUAAAUACAUUUCUGCUUUUCCUAAAUAUUAAGUUUUUAUUUAAAAUAUUGUGAUGUUUGCUUAUUUGUUCGA